rnacentral:rRNA from 1 species
GAUGAACGCUAGCUACAGGCUUAACACAUGCAAGUCGAGGGGAAACAACAUCGAAAGCUUGCUUUUGAUGGGCGUCGACCGGCGCACGGGUGAGUAACGCGUAUCCAACCUGCCCACCACUUGGGGAUAACCUUGCGAAAGUAAGACUAAUACCCAAUGACGUCUCUAGAAGACAUCUGAAAGAGAUUAAAGAUUUAUCGGUGAUGGAUGGGGAUGCGUCUGAUUAGCUUGUUGGCGGGGUAACGGCCCACCAAGGCGACGAUCAGUAGGGGUUCUGAGAGGAAGGUCCCCCACAUUGGAACUGAGAAACGGUCCAAACUCCUACGGGAGGCAGCAGUGAGGAAUAUUGGUCAAUGGGCGAGAGCCUGAACCAGCCUAGUAGCGUGCAGGAAGACGGCCCUAUGGGUUGUAAACUGCUUUUAUAAGGGAAUAAAGUGGGAGUCGUGACUCCUUUUGCAUGUACCUUAUGAAUAAGGACCGGCUAAUUCCGUGCCAGCCGCCGCUGUAA